rfam:Ictidomys tridecemlineatus contig102185, whole genome shotgun sequence.
UGGGGUUUGGCUCAGUGGUAGAGCACUUGCCUGGCAUGGGUUAGGCACUGAGUUUGAUUCUCAGCACCGCAU